GGUCCUAGCUCAGUGGUAGAGCACUCGCCUAGCAUGUGUGAGGCCCUGGAUUCGAUCCUCAGCACCA
rnacentral:tRNA from 1 species